AUUGAACGCUGGCGGCAUGCCUUACACAUGCAAGUCGAACGGCAGCAUGGGUGCUUGCACCUGAUGGCGAGUGGCGAACGGGUGAGUAAUGCAUCGGAACGUACCCUGGAGUGGGGGAUAACGCCGCGAAAGCGGCGCUAAUACCGCAUAUGCUCUGAGGAGGAAAGUGGGGGACCGCAAGGCCUCACGCUCUGGGAGCGGCCGAUGUCCGAUUAGCUAGGUGGUGGGGUAAAGGCUUACCAAGGCGACGAUCGGUAGCUGGUCUGAGGGGAUGAUCAGCCACACUGGGACUGAGACACGGCCCAGACUCCUACGGGAGGCAGCAGUGGGGAAUUUUGGACAAUGGGGGCAACCCUGAUCCAGCCAUGCCGCGUGAGUGAAGAAGGCCUUCGGGUUGUAAAGCUCUUUUGGUCGGGAAGAAAGUGCCCUGCUUAAUACGCGGGGUAUUUGACGGUACCGGCAGAAUAAGCACCGGCUAACUACGUGCCAGCCGCCGCGGUAAAAC
rnacentral:rRNA from 1 species